GAACCAGCCAAGUAGCGUGCAGGAUGACGGCCCUAUGGGUUGUAAACUGCUUUUUAAGGGGAAUAAAGAGGGACACGCGUGUCCUGUUGCAUGUACCCUUAGAAUAAGGACCGGCUAAUUCCGUGCCAGCAGCCGCGGUAAUACGGAAGGUCCAGGUGUUAUCCGGAUUUAUUGGGUUUAAAGGGAGCGUAGGCCGCAGGUUAAGUGUGUUGUGAAAAGCAGUCGCCCAACGUCUGCCUUGCAGCGCAAACUGUCCUGCUUGAGUGCGCACAACGCAGGCGGAAUCCGUCGUGUAGCGGUGAAAUGCUUAGAUAUGACGAAGAACUCCGAUUGCGAAGGCAGCUUGCGGGAGCGCAACUGACGCUGAAGCUCGAAAGUGCGGGUAUCGAACAGGAUUAGAUACCCUGGUAGUCCGCACGGUAAACGCUGGAUGCCCGUUUUUGGCUUAUUUUAAGUCAGAGACCAAGCGAAAGCAUUAAGCAUCCCACCUGGGGAGUACGCCGGCAACGGUGAAACUCAAAGGAAUUGACGGGGGCCCGCACAAGCGGAGGAACAUGUGGUUUAAUUCGAUGAUACGCGAGGAACCUUACCCGGGCUUGAAUUGCCAGAGACGGCUCCAGAGAUGGAGCUUCCCUUCGGGGCUUUGGUGAAGGUGCUGCAUGGUUGUCGUCAGCUCGUGCCGUGAGGUGUCCGCUUAAGUGCCAUAACGAGCGC
rnacentral:rRNA from 1 species